rnacentral:tRNA from 1 species
CCAACCAUAGCUCAGUUGAUAGAGCGGAGGACUGUAGAUCCUUAGGUCACUGGUUCGAAUCCGGUUGGUUGGA